AGAAGGAUGUUAAUUACGAAUAUAUGCGUGUAUCUGUAAGCUCGUUCUGAAGGAUAAAUUGGGGGGGGGGGGAAUGUAGGGUAAAACCAAAAUAGAGGAAUAAAACCAGAAUUUACCCAGAACUUGGUAACAGAUUCUAAUAGAAAUUGAGGUAGGCUUCAGUUCAGUCAAGUUCCUGAUUCACCACAGUAGAUGCAUCUGCCAACAAUGAUAUGCCAAAACUGAGUCUUCACCUGGUUUGAGAACUUAGACAAAUGUUAGAAACCCCCCUGCACCCUUGUUACAUUGUUCUUGCAGUUUUGCUGUUUAAACCUAUCACAAGUGUUUUCCCACAAAAUGCAUAGGAAGUCACUAAACAUGGGUGCUCCCUAUUCUUUUAUUACUGACUUGUUAGGGUACAUUUGUAGGAUAUCUUGAGUACCUGAGAUGGUGGAACAUUCUGUGGGUUGUCAGUUCCAGUAAUAAGAAAAUUAGGUUGGCUAUGCUUUUUCUUGGUCCUGUGUUCUGCAGUUACUUUUUGACCUGUGCUGGUUUGAAUUAGUCACAUUCCAUGCCUUUUCAUGUUCACACUGAGACCCCCAAUACUUGAACUCUUAUCCAACUGCAUUUCAAAUGGAAUUAAAACUUUUGUCUUACUUAAUCAAAUGAGUUACUAGUGAGAUGUAUUCAUGCUUAUUUUAUUAACCUUUUCUGAUUGCUAAAUAUUGUAGGUAAAAAGAUGCCAAACCUCUGUACUGCUUAGUGGGGGGGGACACUGCAUAUCAAACCAGCUAUAUCUUCUUGCUUGUUUCUGUAGUCAGCCCUAAAGGAAAAGUGUUCAAAUCUUGUCUGACAGUUAUAUAGAUGGACCAGUGUAGCUCUUUACGUGAUGAGAAAUGACACGGUUUCUCACAGAGUAUUUAAAAAAAAUUGGCCAUAGCAAAUGGUUUGUGAAUUAGGAUUAGACCAUCAGUAAUAAAGUGGUUCAUUGCAUUAACGAGAGGCACCUACCUACUAUUUCUGGUAUUUGUUAGAAAGACUGUUUUUUUCCAUUGAGCAUUAUUUCUUUUCUUUCUGAUUUGAGCCUGAGCUAAGAACUUAUGUUCAGUGUCCUGAAGUGCCCCAGACAGUGGCCCUUGUAGGUACCUUGUUGAGCUUACUUGAUGAGAAAUGGAUAUGUAUGGUUUGUGUUAUCUUAGUCUCUUAUCUCCAGUUGCAGUUUUUAAUAAAAAUUUGAUCUUGUCUCAGGCAAGAGGUUUGGAUUA